AUUGAACGCUGGCGGCAUGCCUUACACAUGCAAGUCGAACGGUAACGGGCCUUCGGGUGCCGACGAGUGGCGAACGGGUGAGUAAUGUAUCGGAACGUACCUUUCAGUGGGGAUAACGUAGCGAAAGUUACGCUAAUACCGCAUAUUCUGUGAGCAGGAAAGCAGGGGAUCGCAAGACCUUGCGCUGAUUGAGCGGCCGAUAUCAGAUUAGCUAGUUGGUGAGGUAAAGGCUCACCAAGGCGACGAUCUGUAGCGGGUCUGAGAGGAUGAUCCGCCACACUGGAACUGAGACACGGUCCAGACUCCUACGGGAGGCAGCAGUGGGGAAUUUUGGACAAUGGGGGCAACCCUGAUCCAGCCAUGCCGCGUGAGUGAAGAAGGCCU
rnacentral:rRNA from 1 species